rnacentral:rRNA from 1 species
UACGAAGGGGGCUAGCGUUGUUCGGAAUCACUGGGCGUAAAGCGCACGUAGGCGGAUUUGUUAGUCAGGGGUGAAAUCCCGGGGCUCAACCCCGGAACUGCCUUUGAUACUGCAAGUCUCGAGUCCGAUAGAGGUGGGUGGAAUUCCUAGUGUAGAGGUGAAAUUCGUAGAUAUUAGGAAGAACACCAGUGGCGAAGGCGGCCCACUGGAUCGGUACUGACGCUGAGGUGCGAAAGCGUGGGGAGCAAACAGG